rnacentral:rRNA from 1 species
GUGGCGAACGGGUGAGUAAUACAUCGGAACGUGCCUAGUAGUGGGGGAUAACUACUCGAAAGAGUGGCUAAUACCGCAUGAGAUCUAUGGAUGAAAGCAGGGGACCUUCGGGCCUUGUGCUACUAGAGCGGCCGAUGGCAGAUUAGGUAGUUGGUGGGAUAAAAGCUUACCAAGCCUGCGAUCUGUAGCUGGUCUGAGAGGACGAUCAGCCACACUGGGACUGAGACACGGCCCAGACUCCUACGGGAGGCAGCAGUGGGGAAUUUUGGACAAUGGGCGCAAGCCUGAUCCAGCAAUGCCGCGUGCAGGAUGAAGGCCUUCGGGUUGUAAACUGCUUUUGUACGGAACGAAAAGCUCCUCUCUAAUACAGGGGAGUGAUGACGGUACCGUAAGAAUAAGCACCGGCUAACUACGUGCCAGCAGCCGCGGUAAUACGUAGGGUGCGAGCGUUAAUCGGAAUUACUGGGCGUAAAGCGUGCGCAGGCGGUUUUGUAAGACAGUGGUGGAAUCCCCGG